rnacentral:rRNA from 1 species
CCUACGGGAGGCUGCAGUGGGGAAUUUUGGACAAUGGGGGCAACCCUGAUCCAGCAAUGCCGCGUGUGUGAAGAAGGCCUUCGGGUUGUAAAGCACUUUUUCGAGAGUCGCGGUACCGGAAGAAUAAGCACCGGCUAACUACGUGCCAGCAGCCGCGGUAAUACGUAGGGUGCAAGCGUUAAUCGGAAUUACUGGGCGUAAAGCGUGCGCAGGCGGUUUGUUAAGACGGAUGUGAAAUCCCCGGGCUCAACCUGGGAACUGCAUUCGUGACUGGCAGGCUAGAGUAUGGCAGAGGGGGGUGGAAUUCCACGUGUAGCAGUGAAAUGCGUAGAGAUGUGGAGGAACACCGAUGGCGAAGGCAGCCCCCUGGGCCAAACUGACGCUCAUGCACGAAAGCGUGGGGAGCAAACAGGAUUAGAUACCCUUGUAGUC